rnacentral:rRNA from 1 species
UACGUAGGUGGCAAGCGUUGUCCGGAUUUAUUGGGUUUAAAGGGUGCGUAGGCGGCUUGAUAAGUCAGUGGUGAAAGCCGAUCGCUUAACGAUCGAACUGCCAUUGAUACUGCCAGGCUUGAGUAUAGUUGAGGUAGGCGGAAUUGACAGUGUAGCGGUGAAAUGCAUAGAUAUUGUCAAGAACACCAAUUGCGAAGGCAGCUUACUAAAGUAUAACUGACGCUGAGGCACGAAAGUGCGGGGGAUCAAACAGG